CAAAAGAUUGCGUUUCAUUAUUUCCACCUGGAGCCAUCACUGAAAGAAUGUUUUGUGCUCAGAAUUAUUAUUUAAGACAAGAUGCAUGCACGGGUGAUUCCGGUGGUCCAAUGUAUGGCAGAGGAGAAUUAAUUGGUAUAGUAUCCUGGGGGAUAGCCUGCGCAGACGGGACAACUCCUGGUGUUUAUACAAACGUCCCAAAAGUCCUAGAUUUUAUAAAUUUACAUCUGAAACAAUAAACAUAAUGUAAAUAUCACA